rnacentral:rRNA from 1 species
CCUACGGGUGGCAGCAGUGGGGAAUAUUGCACAAUGGGGGCAACCCUGAUGCAGCGACGCCGCGUGAGUGAAGAAGUCAUUCGUUAUGUAAAGCUCUAUCAGCAGGGAAGAAAAUGACGGUACCUGAGUAAGAAGCCCCGGCUAACUACGGGCCAGCAGCCGCGGUAAUACGGAGGUGGCAAGCGUGAUCCGGCUUUACUGGGUGUAAAGGGGGCGUAGACGGCAGUGCAAGGCUGGAGUGAAAGGCGGGGGCUCAACCCCCGGACUGCUCUGGAAACUGUGCGGCUGGAGUGCAGGUGAGGUAAGUGGAAUUCCGGGUGUAGCGGUGAAAUGCGUAGAUAUUAGGAGGAACACCAGUGGCGAAGGCGGCUUACUGGACUGUAACUGACGUUGAGGCUCGAAAGCGUGGGGAGCAAACAGGAUUAGAUACCCGAGUAGUC